GCCAACACCUGCCUUCUCCCCAUGAGCCAUCCGUCACUGUCUCAGUGUGUCGGUGCGAAGACAGCUUCAUUAGCUCCUCCUGAGCCAUCCGUUCCCUGGUGCAGAGAUGAAUGAAGCCCUUCCACCCCAUCAACCUCGGAGGGCUCAGAGCCCUAAGGGAAGUUUCUAAAGGAUCAUCUCCAGUUUCUGCUACCUGUAUAAUUCUCCCGCCUGAGGUCAUAGGCCCUCUCUGCAAGGCAGGAGGCACGAGCCCCUCAAGAUGUAUCCCCAACAGCCCCCUCACCACCUGUCACCAUGCCUGGAGUCCCACCAUUAGAGGAGUCCCUCCACAAGUCAACUACAAUGCAAACAGCUUCUGCAUAAGGAGGAAGACCAUGGGACAGGAGCCAAGAGUCGAAGGCUUUCCUUUCUCUGCUGUGUCACCUGGGGCAACUGGUUUCCCCUUCCUGGGCCUCAGUUUCCCCAUCUUUAAAGGAAAGAGUUCAUCUAGAACCUAGAUCAUCUCCAAGCCCCUUGAUCUCCUAUAGAGUGAGGUUCUCUGGGGAAACUCUGGGGUUCUGAGAAGAUGCCAGUACAUCUGGGGGAAAAGAAGUGCUCUGUAGCCCACUUCCUCUGAGGCCACCAAGCACAUGGCUCAGCUUUGUGAUACACAACCAGAGCAGAUAAUGAACAUGGCUCUCCCCCUCUAAAUCACUUCUUGAAAAAUAGUCCCCAUUUUGGAACUUCUAGUGACCAGCCACAGCCUCAGGGGCUCUGUCAAGCAACAAGGAGUGGGCAGAGUUGAAUCCAAGCCCUGUCUUGGUGUCUGGGCUGAUAACAAGCCCAGAAAAGAGGGAGAUUUCUUCACAAAGGUUCUGCUAGACCCCUGAGAAAUGAUUCUACCUCCUGUGCUGAGAUGAAGAAGGGAAGCAUAACGCCCACCUCUGGGCCAUCUUGAGUUCUCCAUGGGUUUGAUGGCAAAAAGAGUCACCCUCUCCCCACCUGCUUGUUCACUCCAACAGCUUGAAGCCUCUUGGUUUUGAGAGCACAGAGGGUGAGGCAAUUCACCCAUAUUGUAACAGUGUGCAAGGGAGCUCCCCUAUCUCCACUAAUAAAAUCGUGUUGGAUCUUCCAAGGUCGAGCUCUGAGAGAAAACCUCUCCAUGGAACACGCUGGGUUCUAGUGGGGAGCCAGCUGAGAGAGUCCCCACUGAUGUCUCUGAGCAAGAACUUCGGGCCUCCCUUCCAAGGACCAGGGUUCCCCAGAGAAGACUGAAGUUCAAGGAUGUCAAAUAAUUUGCCCAAAGACACAGCUUAUAAGUGGAAAUCAGCGCUUUAACUCAGAUCUGUGUUUCUCCAAAGGUGGAGCUUAGGACCAGAUUUUUCCCUUCCUCCUGUCUUCAGGUCCAGCCCCCAGGCUGAGGCCUUGGAGAAGAUGCACAUGAAGGUGAUUCUUCCAUCAGCAGCUGACCCCAGGGUCUGUUCAACCACGUGGUUGAUGACUGAGGCUUGGUGGAAACUGACCUCUGCCCUCCUUUCUGGGGAGUCCUCCCUGCUCUGUCGCUGCCGCAGAUGCUAUUGGUGCUCCUCCCAAGCCCCUCACCCUUUCAGAGCCACUGGCCCACCACCAACUUCUAGUAUCUUCAUUUCUUUGCCUGAGGAUUUUCUCUGAUUGCUGGGGAACUCUUUGCUGACUAUGCAGGGAAGACCAGAAGUACCAGGGAAUUAAUAUCUCUUGGGAGCAGCCUUCAACCAAUGGCUGAUGGGAGUUGGUGAAUAAACACCCCAGCUCCCUUGCU
ensembl:lncRNA